GACGAACGCUGGCGGCGUGCUUAACACAUGCAAGUCGAACGGAAAGGCCCUGCUUUUGUGGGGUGCUCGAGUGGCGAACGGGUGAGUAACACGUGAGUAACCUGCCCUUGACUUUGGGAUAACUUCAGGAAACUGGGGCUGAUACCUGAUAGGAGCUCCUGCUGCAUGGUGGGGGUUGGAACGUUUCGGCGGUUGGGGAUGGACUCGCGGCUUAUGAGCUUGUUGGUGGGGUAGUGGCUUACCAAGGCUUUGACGGGUAGCCGGCCUGAGAGGGUGACCGGCCACAAGGGGACUGAGAGACGGACCAGAGUGGUACGGGAGGCAGUAGGGGGGAAUAUGACACAAUGGGGGGAAGCCUGAUGCAGAAACGCUGCGUGCGGGAUGAAGGCCUUCGGGGUGUAAACCGCUUUAGGCUGAGACGAAGCGUGAGUGACGGUAAUGGGAAAAGAAGCACCGGCUAACUACGUG
rnacentral:rRNA from 1 species